AUAAUGGGGCCAAAGCUAGCCAAAAUUUUUAUGAAAUUCCUUCUUUUUAUCUUAAAAAUUCAUACAGAUUUGUACCCUUUUAAAUAUGUGGGCUUCCCCCUCCCCUUUUCUUAAAAUAAGUUUCCACUCUCAGUCUCUAUCUGAGUGGACACUCCAGGAAGACAUGGUGCCUCCACUGGCUGUGUGUAUCUGUUGCCUGCACCGUGGACCCCAUGCCCUGGGCCUCUGGUUUGGUUUGCGAAAGUGCAGGGACAGAGUUGAGGUCAAGGCCCUGCCUGUUUUCGGUCUAGGGCCCUCCCCACCUCUGCUCCACGCUCCUGCCUCUUGCUUUGGCUCUCCCAUCUCCUCUCACAGAGGUUUGUCCAUCCCAGUCCAACUCUCCCACUGGGUGUUCUCAGAAUGUCUCACCCCCCUCUUCAUGCCCUGAGGGUCCUUGUCCGGAGGGACACUACCCGUCUUCAGCCCUCUCUGCUGGCCAGUCUGACCCUUCACCUCCCCAGAGGAGUACUCGACUUGGGGAAGUUCCAUGCCCAUUUGGAAGAAACGGAGGUGCAGAGCUGAGAGAGGCUGGACCUCCAGGGUGCACAAUGAGAAGGGCUGUUGGAUGCCCACCGGGAUCUCUGGGCAGCUAUGAAAUGCUCUACUCUCUUCUCUUUUCCUUGCUGUCCCCGGGGCUGGAGGAGCACAGGCCUCCCAGUCAUGGGGCCUUGGCCUUGUUGGACUCCCAUCUCCUUCCAAAGGUUGAGCCUGGGGGGCCCAGAAGUGAGAGGAUGUUUUCUAGAAGCAAGCAAACGUGAAAGCAUGAGAACUGCCACCUGGAGCCAGCACUACAGUCCAUCCAGCCCAGCAAACGACCUUUAACUCAAAUCUUCCCCCAACUAUUCCAGUGGACACUCCCCUCUAGUGUCCCUGGAAAAAAAAAACAAAACACAAAACCACUGCUCUUUGACCCAGUAUUUCAACUUUGGGGAAUUUAUCCUAGACAUACACUUGCAUAUGUGUAAGUUAACAAAUUUUAUCUAUUGCAGUAUUAUUUGUAAUAGCAAAAGACUGGAAACAACCUGAAUGUCCAUCAGUAAGAGACUGGUUAAGUAACUUUUUAAACAAUGGAAUACUAUACAGCAAUGAAAACAGACCGUGACUACAUGCAACAACAUAGUGAGAAAGAAGAAGUGGGAUACAAAAGAACAUUUACACUAUGAUUCUCUUUGUAUAAAGAUUAAAAUCUGUUAAGGUAAAAACUAAACUAUAUUGUUAAAGGUGUUUACAUAAGUUGGAAAACUAUAAAGAAAAUGAGGACAUAAUUACUGAAAAAGUUAAGAUAGUGUUACUUCUAGAGAGAGGGAAGGGAUUUGGGGGAUACUUCUGUAGUGCUGGCAACGUUUUAUUUUUUGACCUGGUUGGUGGUUACAUAAGUGUUCACUUUAUAAUUAUGUUUUAAACUGUACAUAAGUGGUUCAUGCAGUCUUUUGUAUGAAUGAGGUCUCUCAUGAUGUUAAACUAUCACAGUCCAUCCAAACAGUGGAAUACUAUAUAGUCAUUAAAAAGAACAAAACAGCUCUAUAUGCAUGGACAUGGGAUGGAUUUAGGGGGAAAAAACAACCAAAGUGAAGUGCAAUGUGUUUAGUAUGCUACUUUCUGGGUGAAAUUUAAAAAAGACUAUGUCUGCCUCUAUGUCUUUGUCUGCUUAGACUAUCUCUAGAAAAAUACCCAAGAAUCAGGUAACAGGGAACUGGACAGUUGUUUCCCUUUUUGUACCUUAUGGAUUUCAUACCAUGUGUAUAUAUUACCUAUUCAAAAAAUAAAGUAAUUUAAAAAACUG